UACGUAGGGUGCGAGCGUUACUCGGAAUUACUGGGCGUAAAGCGUGCGCAGGCGGUUUUGUAAGCCAGAUGUGAAAUCCCCGGGCUCAACCUGGGAAUGGCAUUUGGGACUGCAAGGCUGGAGUGCGGCAGAGGAGACUGGAAUUCCUGGUGUAGCAGUGAAAUGCGUAGAUAUCAGGAGGAACACCGAUGGCGAAGGCAGGUCUCUGGGCUGACACUGACGCUCAUGCACGAAAGCGUGGGGAGCAAACAGG
rnacentral:rRNA from 1 species